rnacentral:rRNA from 1 species
UUGCUUCUCUUGAGAGCGGCGGACGGGUGAGUAAAGCCUAGGAAUCUGCCUGGUAGUGGGGGAUAACGUUCGGAAACGGACGCUAAUACCGCAUACGUCCUACGGGAGAAAGCAGGGGACCUUCGGGCCUUGCGCUAUCAGAUGAGCCUAGGUCGGAUUAGCUAGUUGGUGAGGUAAUGGCUCACCAAGGCGACGAUCCGUAACUGGUCUGAGAGGAUGAUCAGUCACACUGGAACUGAGACACGGUCCAGACUCCUACGGGAGGCAGCAGUGGGGAAUAUUGGACAAUGGGCGAAAGCCUGAUCCAGCCAUGCCGCGUGUGUGAAGAAGGUCUUCGGAUUGUAAAGCACUUUAAGUUGGGAGGAAGGGCAUUAACCUAAUACGUUAGUG